AACGAACGCUGGCGGCAUGCCUAACACAUGCAAGUCGAACGAGACCUUCGGGUCUAGUUGCGCACGGGUGCGUAACGCGUGGGAACCUGCCCUUAGGUUCGGAAUAACUCCCCGAAAGGGGUGCUAAUACCGGAUAAUGUCUUCGGACCAAAGAUUUAUCGCCUUUGGAUGGGCCCGCGUUGGAUUAGCUAGUUGGUAGGGUAAAAGCCUACCAAGGCGACGAUCCAUAGCUGGUCUGAGAGGAUGAUCAGCCACACUGGGACUGAGACACGGCCCAGACUCCUACGGGAAGCAGCAGUGGGGAAUAUUGGACAAUGGGCGAAAGCCUGAUCCAGCAAUGCCGCGUGAGUGAUGAAGGCCUUAGGGUUGUAAAGCUCUUUUACCCGGGAUGAUAAUGACAGUACCGGGAGAAUAAGCUCCGGCUAACUCCGUG
rnacentral:rRNA from 1 species